GACGAACGCUGGCGGCGUGCUUAACACAUGCAAGUCGAACGGAAAGGCCCUGCUUUUGUGGGGUUCUCGAGUGGCGAACGGGUGAGUAACACGUGAGUAACCUGCCCUUGACUUUGGGAUAACUUCAGGAAACUGGGCUUAAUCCCAUACCGCAUCCCCUCUUCCAUGGUGAGCGUGGGAACGUUUCGGCGGGCGGGGAUGGAUUCGCGGCUUAUCGACUUGUUGGUGGGGUAGUGGCUUACCAAGCCUUUGACGGGUAGCCGGCCUGAGAGGGUGACCGGGCACAUUGGGACUGAGAGACGGCGCAGACGGCUACGGGAGGCAGCAGUGGGGAAUAUUGCACAGUGGGCGGAAGCCGUAUGCAGCAACGCCGCGUGCGGGAUGACGGCCUUCGGGUUGUAAACCGCUUUCGCCUGUGACGAAGCGUGAGUGACGGUAAUGGGUAAAGAAGCACCGGCUAACUACGUG
rnacentral:rRNA from 1 species